rnacentral:rRNA from 1 species
CCUACGGGAGGCAGCAGUGAGGAAUAUUGGUCAAUGGACGCAAGUCUGAACCAGCCAUGCCGCGUGAAGGAAGAAGGCUUUCGGGUUGUAAACUUCUUUUAAGAGGGAAGAGCAGAAGACGGUACCUCUUGAAUAAGCCACGGCUAACUACGUGCCAGCAGCCGCGUUAAUACGUAGGUGGCAAGCGUUGUCCGGAUUUACUGGGUGUAAAGGGCGUGUAGCCGGGCUGACAAGUCAGAUGUGAAAUUCCGGGGCUCAACCCCGGCCCUGCAUUUGAAACUGUUGGUCUUGAGUAUCGGAGAGGCAGGCGGAAUUCCUGGUGUAGCGGUGAAAUGCGUAGAUAUCAGGAGGAACACCAGUGGCGAAGGCGGCCUGC